UGGAAGUAAAAAGUCGUAACAAGGUCUCCGUUGGUGAACCAGCGGAGGGAUCAUUACUGAGUUAUCAAAACUCCAAACCCUUUGUGAACCUUACCGUCGUUGCCUCGGCGUGAGCUACGGCUACCCUGUAACUACCCUGGAGCUACCCUAGAGUUACCCUAUAGCUACCCUGCACUUACCCUGCAGCUACCCUAUAGCUACCCUGGAGCUACCCUGGAGCUACCCUGUAGUCGGCUUCGGCCCGCCGAAGGACCGUUAAACUCUUGUUUUUACCACUGUUUCUCUGAAUUCUAAACUAAAAUAAGUUAAAACUUUCAACAACGGAUCUCUUGGUUCUGGCAUCGAUGAAGAACGCAGCGAAAUGCGAUAAGUAAUGUGAAUUGCAGAAUUCAGUGAAUCAUCGAAUCUUUGAACGCACAUUGCGCCCACUAGUAUUCUAGUGGGCAUGCCUAUUCGAGCGUCAUUUCGACCCCUAAGCCCCUGUUGCUUAGCGUUGGGAAUCUACGGCGUAGUUCCUCAAAGUUAGUGGCGGAGUUAGGGUACACUCUCAGCGUAGUAAUUUCUCUCGCUCGUGUGGUGGCCCUGGCUGCUAGCCGUUAAAACCCCUAUAUUUUCUAGUGGUUGACCUCGGAUUAGGUAGGAAUACCCGCUGAACUUAAGCAUAUCAAUAAGCGGACG
rnacentral:rRNA from 1 species